rnacentral:rRNA from 1 species
AUAAUACUCCAUAGAUUAGAGACACUGGAAUGUUCUUUAGUCGAAAGUUCUGGCGCCUUAGGAUGGAUCUGCGGUCGAUUAGGUUGUUGUUGGGGUAACGGCCCAACAAGCCUGUAAUCGAUACGGGUUGUGGGAGCAAGAGCCCGGAGAUGGAAUCUGAGACACGAUUCCAGGCCCUACGGGGCGCAGCAGGCGCGAAAACUUUACAAUGCAGGAAACUGUGAUAAGGGAACUCCGAGUGCCCGUAUACGCGGGCUGUCCAGGUGUUUAAAAAUCAUCUGAAGAAAGGGCCGGGCAAGAUCGGUGCCAGCCGCCGCGGUAAUACCGGCGGCUCGAGUGGUGGCCACUAUUAUUGGGCUUAAAGCGUCCGUAGCUGGACCGACAAGUCUCUUGGGAAAUCCGCCGGCUCAACCGGCGGGCGUCUAAGGGAUACUGUUAGUCUAGGGACCGGGAGAGGUGAGAGGUACUCCGGGGGUAGGAGUGAAAUCCUGUAAUCCCCGGGGGACCACCGAUGGCGAAAGCAUCUCACCAGAACGGCUCCGACAGUGAGGGACGAAAGCUGGGGGAGCGAACCGGAUUAGAUACCCGGGUAGUCCCAGCCGUAAACUAUGCGCGUUAGGUGU